rnacentral:rRNA from 1 species
UGGGGAAUAUUGCACAAUGGGGGAAACCCUGAUGCAGCAACGCCGCGUGAGUGAAGAAGUAUUUCGGUAUGUAAAGCUCUAUCAGCAGGGAAGAAGAUGACGGUACCUGACCAAGAAGCCCGGCUAACUACGUGCC